GACGAACGCUGGCGGCGUGCUUAACACAUGCAAGUCGAACGGAAAGGCCCUGCUUUUGUGGGGUGCUCGAGUGGCGAACGGGUGAGUAACACGUGAGUAACCUGCCCUUGACUUUGGGAUAACUUCAGGAAACUGGGGCUAAUACCGGAUAGGAGCUCCUGCUGCAUGGUGGGGGUUGGAAAGUUUCGGCGGUUGGGGAUGGACUCGCGGCUUAUCAGCUUGUUGGUGGGGUAGUGGCUUACCAAGGCUUUGACGGGUAGCCGGCCUGAGGGGGUGACCGGCCACAUUGGGCCUGAGUUACGGCCCAGACUCCUCCGGGAGGCAGCAGUGGGGAUUAUUGCCCAAUGGCGGAAGCCUGAUGCAGCAACGCCGCGUGCGGGAUGACGGCCUUCGGGUUGUAAACCGCUUUCGCCUGUGACGAAGCGUGAGUGACGGUAAUGGGUAAAGAAGCACCGGCUAACUACGUG
rnacentral:rRNA from 1 species